ACGACCUUACUUGAACAGGAUCUGUUCUAUAGGCUCGUACCAUUGUAUUCUUGAUUUCUAAGGAGACAGGAAACCAAGUUUGGUGGAUGAUUUGUAGCCAUUAGACCAGAGCGUGAUUAAUAGCUUCCAUGAUUCUCGGGUCAUGGUGCCAGAGAUGAUCGUUCUUAACCUCGAUCAUGGGUGUUGAGAUGGUCUAAUGGUUGUCUGACAGACU
rnacentral:snoRNA from 2 species